rnacentral:rRNA from 1 species
AGCGAACGCUGGCGGCAGGCCUAACACACGCAAGUCGAACGAAGUCUUCGGACUUAGUGGCGGACGGGUGAGUAACACGUGGGAACGUGCCUUUAGGUUCGGAAUAACUCAGGGAAACUUGUGCUAAUACCGAAUGUGCCCUUCGGGGGAAAGAUUUAUCGCCUUUAGAGCGGCCCGUGUCUGAUUAGCUAGUUGGUGAGGUAAAGGCUCACCAAGGCUACGAUCAGUAGCUGGUCUGAGAGGAUGACCAGCCACAUUGGGACUGAGACACGGCCCAAACUCCUACGGGAGGCAGCAGUGGGGAAUCUUGCGCAAUGGGCGAAAGCCUGACACAGCCAUGCCGCGUGGAUGAUGAAGGUCUUAGGAUUGUAAAAUCCUUUCACCGGUGAAGAUAAUGACUGUAGCCGGAGAAAAAGCCCCGGCUAACUUCGUGCCAGCCGCCGCCGUAACAC